rnacentral:rRNA from 1 species
GAUGAACGCUAGCUACAGGCUUAACACAUGCAAGUCGAGGGGCAGCAUGGUCUUAGCUUGCUAAGGCCGAUGGCGACCGGCGCACGGGUGAGUAACACGUAUCCAACCUGCCGUCUACUCUUGGACAGCCUUCUGAAAGGAAGAUUAAUACAAGAUGGCAUCAUGAGUCCGCAUGUUCACAUGAUUAAAGGUAUUCCGGUAGACGAUGGGGAUGCGUUCCAUUAGAUAGUAGGCGGGGUAACGGCCCACCUAGUCUUCGAUGGAUAGGGGUUCUGAGAGGAAGGUCCCCCACAUUGGAACUGAGACACGGUCCAAACUCCUACGGGAGGCAGCAGUGAGGAAUAUUGGUCAAUGGGCGAGAGCCUGAACCAGCCAAGUAGCGUGAAGGAUGACUGCCCUAUGGGUUGUAAACUUCUUUUAUAAAGGAAUAAAGUCGGGUAUGGAUACCCGUUUGCAUGUACUUUAUGAAUAAGGAUCGGCUAACUCCGUGCCAGCAGCCGCGGUAAUACGGAGGAUCCGAGCGUUAUCCGGAUUUAUUGGGUUUAAAGGGAGCGUAGAUGGAUGUUUAAGUCAGUUGUGAAAGUUUGCGGCUCAACCGUAAAAUUGCAGUUGAUACUGGAUAUCUUGAGUGCAGUUGAGGCAGGCGGAAUUCGUGGUGUAGCGGUGAAAUGCUUAGAUAUCACGAAGAACUCCGAUUGCGAAGGCAGCCUGCUAAGCUGCAACUGACAUUGAGGCUCGAAAGUGUGGGUAUC